GAGGCUGGUCAUUGGGCAGCAAAGAAAGGAUGUUAUGAAUGUAAGAAUCAGCAAAAUAAACCAUUCUUAUGAUCUAGUUGUCUAGGCACCCUUCUCUCUCUGUAACGCCAACUAAGCAAAAGAUUCAUGAAUGAGAUGAGUGAAUUCAUCACCUUCUGGAUCCCUGUCCUUUUCUGUUCUCUUGAUGACCAAUGACCACUCCAGAUGUGCCAUCUCUGUCCUGGACAAGCUUGGAAAUAGUGUUGCUAUGCCCAUGGUCACACAGCUCCCUCUGCUCAAAGCAGCACAUCACCUUAUUAGAAUAAAGGCUUCGUUGACUCUGCAAGUCCAACACCUCUCCAGAUAAUCCCCUUCUCUAUGUUCACUGCUGCUACACCAGACUUCUCAUCUAUCAGGGAGAACAUCAUUCAAACUUAUGUCUCUUGCUUCCCGGUUUUCUGUGCUUUGGUGCCUGCUCCGAUGUGAUAUGAAAUGUCAGGCUCUCUUUGCUUUGGUCUGCAUGUGGCCUAGGCUACAGCAUCAUUCAGAUAGGCUGGAAGGCUUAUUAAAGUACUGGUUCCUGAGCUCUACUUUGAGAAAUAUUGGAUUACAAACACUGGGUAUGAAACUGAAAAAAUUGCUUUUCAUAAGUUAACUUUUCUCUCCUGCCUAUGCAUUUCCAUGUACACUGUGUAUUAAUAACCACUGGCUUAAAAAUAAAGAUCCCCUCCUCGUA